UGCACUCCAUCUCCCAAUAAUCUGUGCAUUCCAGAAUUCGGUUUCCAUUUAACUAAUAUUAUUUGUUAUUACAAGUAUUAUUAUUAAUAAUAGGCUCUGAAAAUGGCCUUCUUUGAUGUUCAGUCUAAUUGGUGAAAAUAAAUUUCCCCGAGUUUUUACAACUACAAUCAAGAUAUUAGACCACCUUAAUGUAUCAUGCAUACAUUUAUUGGGAAUAAUAUAACAACCUUUAUAAUUUAAUAUUGUAUUGAUUACUCAGAGCAAUAAUAAUAUUAAUCAGUGUUAAUAAAAGUAAAUAACCACGAUAUUAAUCGUUUCAAUUGAUUUAUUGGUCUAUAUGGUAUUAUUUGUCGAGUAACGAAGCAGUAUGAUCAAGUUAUGUGAAAUAAAUAAGUGGGAUACCGUAUUCGUAUAAAGUAUUUAUUUUCUUCAAAGAAUAUUUCCGAAGAGUAGGGGAAUAUUCUCAGUGAUACUUCACUAUAUAGAACACGAGUCGUUUAACUCGUUGGGAGCCUAUACAUUACUUCGAUACUCCGGUUUGUGUUGGUUUAUUUCUCUGUAAUUUAAGUAAACCGUUUUUGCGUUUUCGGUUUGAUCGCUGUUGAAUGUUGAUAUAUAAAUCGGCGCGACUAUGUAUAUUAUAUUCUAUGGACGUCUGAGAUCUCCAGCUACUGAACCGAUAAAAUAAAAACAAAUUGCUAUAUCGAGAAAAACCAUAAUAGACAACCCGUAUUGUGAGUUUUCGAUUUGAAUUUAAAACUCAUUCGACGUUUGGCUUCGGGUUUACAUACUAAUAUACUAUU